CCUACGGGAGGCAGCAGUGGGGAAUAUUGGACAAUGGGCGCAAGCCUGAUCCAGCAAUGCCGCGUGAGUGAUGAAGGCCUUAGGGUCGUAAAGCUCUUUUACCAGGGAUGAUAAUGACAGUACCUGGAGAAUAAGCUCCGGCUAACUCCGUGCCAGCAGCCGCGGUAAUACGGAGGGAGCUAGCGUUGUUCGGAAUUACUGGGCGUAAAGCGUACGUAGGCGGUUAUUCAAGUCAGAGGUGAAAGCCCGGGGCUCAACCCCGGAACGGCCUUUGAAACUAGGUAGCUAGAAUCUUGGAGAGGUCAGUGGAAUUCCGAGUGUAGAGGUGAAAUUCGUAGAUAUUCGGAAGAACACCAGUGGCGAAGGCGACUGACUGGACAAGUAUUGACGCUGAGGUACGAAAGCGUGGGGAGCAAACAGGAUUAGAUACCCUGGUAGUCCACGCCGUAAACGAUGAUAACUAGCUGUUCGGGCACUUGGUGCUUGAGUGGCGCAGCUACGCAUAAGUUAUCCGUCCGUCGGGUAGGUACGGUCGCGAGAAGUUAAAACGUUAAAAGGUAAAGUUAGUACGGUCGUGUAGAGUUGUCCGAACGGACGACGACGAGGGAGGAGG
rnacentral:rRNA from 1 species